rnacentral:rRNA from 1 species
GUGUCAGCAGCCGCGGUAAUACGAAGGGGGCUAGCGUUGUUCGGAAUUACUGGGCGUAAAGCGCACGUAGGCGGAUUUGUAAGUCAGGGGUGAAAUCCCGGGGCUCAACCUCGGAACUGCCUUUGAUACUGCAAGUCUCGAGUCCGAUAGAGGUGAGUGGAAUUCCUAGUGUAGAGGUGAAAUUCGUAGAUAUUAGGAAGAACACCAGUGGCGAAGGCGGCUCACUGGAUCGGUACUGACGCUGAGGUGCGAAAGCGUGGGGAGCAAACAGGAUUAGAAACCCUCGUAGUCC